GCGCCGGUGGUGUAAUGGCGUAGAGCAUUCCCGCCCGGUUAGAGGGAGGUGCGGGUUCGAGUCCCGCCUGGCGCC
rfam:Heligmosomoides polygyrus genome assembly, scaffold: HPBE_scaffold0003307